GAUGCCUAUGUUUUUUUCUGUCACAAUGCCAAUACCUAUCUAGACCACAGGAUUUGCCAUUGCAUUCACAUCUAGUGGAUCAGAUGGGCAUCGGCAUUGUGAAGAUGGGCAU
rnacentral:pre_miRNA from 1 species